GUAAAGGCCCUUUUCAGGGCAACCCACAAUCUGAUUUAAAUUCUUU
rfam:Schistosoma margrebowiei strain Zambia genome assembly, scaffold: SMRZ_scaffold0003640